rnacentral:rRNA from 1 species
UGCCAGCCGCCGCGGUAAUACGGAGGAUCAAGUGUUAUUCAGAAUUAUUGGGCGUAAAGGGCAUGUAGGUGGAUGAUUGGAGUUGAUUGUGCCAUUCCAAUGGGAUGCAUUGGGUUUGCAAUCAAUACUCUUCAUCUUGAGGUCAAAAGAGGAAAAUAGAAUUCCAAGUGUAGAGGUGAAAUUCGUAGAUAUUUGGAGGAACACCAGUGGCGAAGGCGGCUCACUGGCUCGAUACUGACGCUGAGGUACGAAAGUGUGGGGAGCAAACAGGAUUAGAUA